CAGUCGCCGCGGUAAUACGUAGGGUGCAAGCGUUAAUCGGAAUUACUGGGCGUAAAGCGUGCGCAGGCGGUUUGUUAAGACAGAUGUGAAAUCCCCGGGCUCAACCUGGGAACUGCAUUUGUGACUGGCAAGCUAGAGUGUGGCAGAGGGGGGUGGAAUUCCGCGUGUAGCAGUGAAAUGCGUAGAUAUGCGGAGGAACACCGAUGGCGAAGGCAGCCCCCUGGGCCAACACUGACGCUCAUGCACGAAAGCGUGGGGAGCAAACAGGAUUAGAUACCCCGGUAGUCCCUGUCUCUUAUAC
rnacentral:rRNA from 1 species